rfam:Pseudomonas sp. VI4.1 NODE_13_length_128320_cov_37.6271, whole genome shotgun sequence.
CUUGAUGGUAGCUGUGCCCAUGGCGCCCUUGGGUGCGCCGGAUUUGGGUCGGUGUCCGGUCUACUAACUUGCGCACAGCUGCCACCCUU